rnacentral:rRNA from 1 species
UAAGAGGUCUAGCCUGCCCAGUGACCAAAAUUCAACGGCCGCGGUAUCCUGACCGCGCGAAGGUAGCGUAAUCACUUGUUUUUUAAAUAAAGACUAGUAUGAAUGGCAUCACGAGGAUCGAACUGUCUCCUUUCCAUAAUCAGUGAAACUAAUCCCCCCGUGAAAAAGCAGGGAUCAAACUACAAGACGAAAAGACCCUAUGGAGCUUUAAAUAUAUAACUAUGCCUCUUAACCCCCCCCCGCACCUAGUUAUAAAUUUUAGGUUGGGGUGACCGCGGAGAAAAACCUAUCCUCCAUGACAAAUGAAUUUACUUUAAACAAAAAGUCACAACCUCAUGUAUCAACAAAUUGACAUACUGACCCAAUAAUUUGAUCAGCGAACCAAGUUACCCUAGGGAUAACAGCGCAAUCCACUUUGAGAGUUCAUAUCGACAAGUGGGCUUACGACCUCGAUGUUGGAUCAGGGUAUCCCAGUGGUGCAGCCGCUACUAAAG